UGUUCAGUGAAAGGGUGAUUUGGAGGGGAUGAAGGAGGGAGGCUGAAUGUGUUCAGUGAAAGGGUGAUCUAGGAACAACCAGCAAGUGCAAAGGCCCUGAGGUAGGAGCAUGGUUGAGAAGACACAGACUCAUGUUCCCAAAACCUG